AUUGAACGCUAGCGGGAUGCCUUACACAUGCAAGUCGAACGGAGUGGCGAACGGGUGCGUAAUGUAACGGAACGUGCCCCGUAGCGGGGGAUAACUACGCGAAAGCGUAGCUAAUACCGCAUACUAUUGGCGCGGCCGAUAUCGGAUUAGCUAUGUGGGGGGGUAACGGCCAACCAAGGCGACGAACCGUAGCUGGUUUGAGAGGACGACCAGCCAACCUGGGACGGAGACACGGCCCAGACUCCUACGGGAGGCAGCAGUGGGGAAUUUGGGACAAUGGGGGAAACCCUGAUCCAGCCAUCCCGCGUGUGCGAUGAAGGCCUUCGGGUUGUAAAGCACUUUUGGCAGGAAAGCGGUACCUGCAGAAUAAGCACCGGCUAACUACGGGCCAGCCGCCGCGGUAAUAC
rnacentral:rRNA from 1 species